UUCAUAGUCUGGUGUAAAAAUAAAUGGGAGUGUCUAUUUAGCAUUUGACUGUUUUACAAUUGGAGAACAUUCAAAUUUUCUGACUAAUAAGCAGAUGUCACUUAUAUGUCCAAAACCUACCCCACCAACGUUGUAUGUAGCUCUAUUUCAAAAAUAAAACGGGUCAGGAAAUAAACCCGAUUCAACUAAACCUGGACCACAACCCAGUUUCACAAAAACAGAAAAGGAGGGUCCACAAAACACACCGAACAGCUGCCAUUCACCAAUUCUUGACCCCCUUCACCAGUUUCACCACUUCUUCACCCCCUUCAGGCCUUCACCACGCUUGACCUAUUACAUGAUAAAAACAACUUUAAAAAGAACCAUCAGAGAAACUAGUUACAAAGAAAUUCCAGAGACAGCAGGAGACUCCGGAAUGUGUGAUAGCUAGCGAUUGUAAAACUCUAGAAAUACAAAAUUUUUGCUGUCUUAUGUCAAAAAUUACAAUAGCAAAGGCAUGGAAAUUACACUACAACCCUGAAAAAAACAUAUAGUGGAUUUACACUGUAAAAUACAAAGGAACUCACAAGGAUUUACAAUCGUAUUACUCAUAAAGUUACACUGUAAACACCCACGAAUUAUAGUCAUAUAUCCCACGAAUUACACUGGAAAUCCCCUAGAAUUGUACUGUUAUUAUCAGGUAUUUGCACUUGUAAAAACUGAUGAACUUACACUGUAAGUACUAAGUACCCAUGUCAUACUACAAGGUAAAUCGGUAGUAAAAUCCACUGUAAUAUAUUUGACAUAAACCUACAAUAAUUACAGUGCUAAAGCAUUGAAAUUACAGUGUAAAUCUGCAGUAAAAUUCACUGUAAUCCAUCUGACAUAAACCUACAACAAUUAUAGUGCCGAGGCAUUCAAAUUACAGUGUAAAUCUGUAGUAAAAUACAGUGUAAGCCAUACAACAAUUCAUUACUGAAGCUAACUGAAGAAUACCAAGAAUCUGCUGUAAAUCACUGUAAUAUAUAUGAAACAUAUAACAAUUACAGACUUGUAGCGUAUAAAUUACAUAGAAAAUCUUUGAUAAAUUACAGUGAUGAAGCAACUGAAAGUAAUCUAUAAAACAAAAAAACCAAAAGCCCUACAACAAUUACAGCACUUAACCAUGCAAAUUACAGUAUAAAACUACUAAAUAAUAAAGUGUAACCAUGCAACAAUUACAGUCCUAAAGCAUAAAAACAGUGAAAAUCUGGGGUAAAUUACACUGUAAAUUUGGAGUCGGAAAAUUACAGUGCAAUUUUACGCAUAUUACAGUGCAGAUCUGAGCUAAAUUACACUAUAACUCUAGGGUAUAUUGCGCUGUAAUAACAAUAAAGAAGCAUAUGCAUUACACUCAAAUUCUGAUAAGAUUACACUGUGAUUCUUGCUAAUACUGCAACAACACUACAGGCCUACAUCAGCACUACAGACCUAGUACACACAAAUUCAGAGAAAUUUUGGGGUAUAUUAGCAUGAAACCAUGGAAACUAAACACCUACAUCUGACAACAAAAAUCAAGAGGGAUUCAGGGACUACAAGAGCUAACAUGAGCAGGAAAAUGAAACAAAUAACACCUACAUCUACAUAGCAAAGGGUCAGCCAAAAUCAAACUACAAAUGACAAACUACAUCUACAUCGCAUAAGCCAGCAGGAUCCUAAGCCAGACCAUGUACAACUACAUCUACAUACAAAAAAUGCAUGCGGAUUAGACACCCUGGCCACCAGAAAACAGGGGAAUCCAGCGCUACAACUACAAAAUCGCCUACCUCUACGGCUCUUCAUCUACAGUAGAACAAACAAAUUAGCAGGGAGGAGCGACCACAACCAUCAGAUGACCUAGAACACCCACCUACCAGUGGCUACACCAAUGACUAACAACACAAAACACACAUCUUAGGCAGGCAGGAGGGGAGCAAAAUGGUGGACUACAACAACACGGCAGCAUGCACCUAUAAUAGAAAUCACAUAGCACACAAAACCAACAACAACGCAUAAAAAACGACUACCAACAAAUCGACAGCCCUAGAUCUGGAAGCUACACGAACAGAGACAGGGCAAAUCGAAUGCGAGAAAGAGGGAGAGAGAGGAAGACCCAACCGGGGGAGACGAGAAUCAAAGGGAAAAUCAAAUUCGAGCAGAGAGGCGGCUCGGAAACGCCAUGAACCCGACGGAAUGGCCUCCUGUCCUCCGCCGCACAAGCGCCUCCUCUCUGCCCCUCUGCCUCAUCGAAACAAUGCCACCUAAAAUGAAAUAGGGAAAAAUUGGGGGGAAAUGAAAAGGAACCGAGAGACCCCGAGGGCGCUAACGGGCUAGCCCAAAAUAAUAACGCACCCUACAAAGGAACCCACGCCUGAAAAUCAGAGUUCUCAGCGUGAAUCUUAGUGCGAGAUCAGAC
rnacentral:lncRNA from 1 species